GAUGAACGCUGGCGGCGUGCCUAACACAUGUAAGUCGAACGUGAGGGUGCUAGCAAUAGUGCCUGAAAGCGGCGAACGGGUGAGUAACACGUAGAUAACCUACCCUGGAGUGGGGGAUAACGACUGGAAACGGUCGCUAAUACCGCAUGAGACUCUCUGCACGGGAGUGCGGAGAUUGAAAGAUUUAUUGCUCCAGGAGGGGUCUGCGUCCGAUUAGCUAGUUGGUGGGGUAAUGGCCUACCAAGGCGAUGAUCGGUAGCUGGUCUGAGAGGAUGAUCAGCCACACGGGAACUGAGACACGGUCCCGACUCCUACGGGAGGCAGCAGUGGGGAAUAUUGGACAAUGGGCGCAAGCCUGAUCCAGCCAUGCCGCGUGUGUGAAGAAGGCCUUCGGGUUGUAAAGCACUUUCAGUAGGGAGGAAGCGUUGAGUGUUAAUAGUACUCAGCGUUGACGUUACCUACAGAAGAAGCACCGGCUAACUCUGUGCCAGCAGCCGCGGUAAUAC
rnacentral:rRNA from 1 species